rnacentral:misc_RNA from 1 species
UUUCCGUAGGUGAACCUGCGGAAGGAUCAUUCAUAAUAAAGUGUUUUAUGGCACUUUUUAAAAAUCCAUAUCCACCUUGUGUGCAAUGUUAGAUCUCGUCAAUCUUGGCGAGAUUUUUAUACAUCAACUCAUUUUUUAACUAAUUUGUCUGAAAAAUAUUAUGAAUACUUAAUUCAAAAUACAACUUUCAACAACGGAUCUCUUGGCUCUCGUAUCGAUGAAGAACGCAGC